GGCUGCAGCUCAGUGGCAGAGCAUCCGCUUUGCAUCCAGAAGGUCACCGGUUCAAUCCCCGGCAUAGACCUGCAGGUA